UACGAAGGGGGCUAGCGUUGUUCGGAAUUACUGGGCGUAAAGCGCGCGCAGGCGGUCUUCCAAGUCAGUGGUGAAAGCCCGGAGCUCAACUCCGGAAUUGCCAUUGAAACUGUGAGACUGGAGUACGAGAGAGGUGAGUGGAAUUCCCAGUGUAGAGGUGAAAUUCGUAGAUAUUCGGAAGAACACCAGUGGCGAAGGCGACUUACUGGACACGUAUUGACGCUGAGGUGCGAAAGCGUGGGGAGCAAACAGG
rnacentral:rRNA from 1 species